rnacentral:tRNA from 1 species
GCUAGGACUAAGUGGCAGAGCAUCUGUUUUGCAUGCAGAAGGUCCCAGGUUCAAUCCCUGUCAUCUCCA